CAGCCGCCGCGGUAAUACAGAGGGUGCGAGCGUUAAUCGGAUUUACUGGGCGUAAAGCGUGCGUAGGCGGCUUUUUAAGUCGGAUGUGAAAUCCCUGAGCUUAACUUAGGAAUUGCAUUCGAUACUGGGAAGCUAGAGUAUGGGAGAGGAUGGUAGAAUUCCAGGUGUAGCGGUGAAAUGCGUAGAGAUCUGGAGGAAUACCGAUGGCGAAGGCAGCCAUCUGGCCUAAUACUGACGCUGAGGUACGAAAGCAUGGGGAGCAAACAGGAUUAGAGACCCCAGUAGUCCCUGUCUCUUAUAA
rnacentral:rRNA from 1 species